AUAACCGAGAGGACGGAGCGAAAUCUGUUCUCCUGCGCGGUCAAAGUCUUGGGAGGAUGCGAUCUAGGCGCGGUAACUCGCAGCCGCCGGAAACGGAAAGCAGAUCGGACGCGUUAAAAUUGCAAGGCCUCGUGCCUUGCAUUUUUUU
rnacentral:sRNA from 2 species